UAUCGAGCCGCUGCGCAGCCUUAUACGUGCGUGAUUAUUUAAAUAUACUAAGCGAUUCUAUUAUAUUUUAUACAACAAAAAAAUUAAAAUGCUGCUUGAAAUGCAUGCAAUGUGCGCGAGGGAAACCACACAGUAGGAGAGCUAGAAACCAAAGAGAGAAACCAAAUAAUCCUGUCACACCUUUGUAAACCGUUUUAAAGCCAGCAACCGCGACUUGAUUGUACUGAACCAAAUAGUUUUUGUACUAAAGGGAACACGAUUUUGACUCGAGAUUUGUUUAAAAAGCGAAACCAAAGUGGAACCGGAUCGCGACGCGUGCAAGGCCGUUGUGACGUUUACCGGCCGCACACCUGGUCUCGCGCGGGAUAUGCAAAACCCGAGAAACGUUAUGACAGUUAGGACAACAAGUGAGUUUUGAAUUUUAAAAAGUCACAGUUUCAACCAACGGUUCGACAUUUGCCAGCGUAGGUUUAAACGUCCUGUUAUUCUAAUUUGUAGGUUAGUUUAACGGAUUUUUCAGCCAAGCAACAAAACAAACGUCAAGUGACCACAAAACACGUUUAAUAUACAUUUUGACUAUAUUUAGACCGCUUGAUAGAUCCCGGCUAUCCGUCUGUGUGUAAGUCCGAGAUAGAGUAUCCCUGAGGAAGAAGUUAUGACUUAGAGGCACAAUACCAAAAAUGUAAAGAUAGCUUGAGAAAUUUACUUAGGUUAUACAUUUUAAACCAAAUGCUAACUAUUACCAAAAAUAAACAACCUCAAAACACAGUCUAUUUGACAAUAUAAGCAACCAAAGAAAAAUAAACUCAAGACAAGCACCAAAUACAAGAGACCAUAGAAGAAAAGCCCAGACGACAGCGGAUCAUGUUUGUUCCCUUGCCGGUGCCGUUGGUGUUUCAGAGAACCGCUCCUGAUUUCAGCGCCUGGCGACUCAAGUCUCCGCUGCCUCUGCGCUCCGGUGACUCCGUAGAUAUCAGGAUGUCUAAAGCCGUCGAUGAUGACAAGAUGGGGACUGAGCUUCCAGUGGACAGUACAGGUAAACAUCAAUAUUAGGAUUGAUUAUUGAAGGUCUGUGUGAGCCUGAAUGCUUUGAGAUGCAGUAGAAAUGUAUGUUACGUGUAUUAUCUAUAAAAUCACUAUAAUUAUUGUAAUUAGUAUGUGAAAUCAUGAAGAUGGAGAGGUGUGUGUGUAGGUGUGAUGCUAUUGUUGGAGAGAAACACUGCAUGUGUAAGCAUGUUUUAUCAUGUAUACUACUAUGAUUCAUGAAUAUUCCUAGAUGUGUUUGUGAGUGUGUAAGCGUGAUAAGACUUUGUUUUGGCAUAAUUCUCACUUUUUCCACUAGGUCUGAAUCACACACAGAACACUUUAGUCAGCAGUGGCCUCAAUCUGACACACACACACACAUACACACAUAUAGCAGCAUACAGUAAGCCAGGUUAAACGCUCCAUGGUAUUCCAAUAAUGCAGUGCCUCUGGCAAACCAGACCAUGCUUUUGUUGAUGUGAGGGCUGGAGCCUGAGGCACUAUUCUGACCUGAUGUGUCCUUCAUGUGUGUGUGUGUGUGUGUGUGUGUGUGUGUGUGUGUUUCUACAGACUCUGAGAGGAACAGUCCAGAGGCCAGCGAUCAGGUGUGUGAACAUAUUUUAAUGCAUAGUUUUAAUGAGUUGUUUGAUGUCAGUGAAUGUGUUUUAACAAAAAGAAGAAGAAGAAAAUAAAAAAUGUUCAUGAGAGGUUCUCCA
ensembl:lncRNA